rnacentral:rRNA from 1 species
UACGAAGGGUGCAAGCGUUAAUCGGAAUUAUUGGGCGUAAAGAGCUCGUAGGCGGCUUGUCACGUCGGAUGUGAAAGCCCGGGGCUUAACUCCGGGUCUGCAUUCGAUACGGGCUGGCUAGAGUGUGGUAGGGGAGAUCGGAAUUCCUGGUGUAGCGGUGAAAUGCGCAGAUAUCAGGAGGAACACCGGUGGCGAAGGCGGCUAUCUGGACCGACAUUGACGCUGAGGCGCGAAAGCGUGGGGAGCAAACAGG